rnacentral:rRNA from 1 species
GUGAACGCUGGCGGUAGGCCUAACCCAUGCAAGUCGAACGGCAGCACCGUAAGAGCUUGCUCUUACGGGUGGCGAGUGGCGGACGGGUGAGGAAUACAUCGGAAUCUACUUUUUCGUGGGGGAUAACGUAGGGAAACUUACGCUAAUACCGCAUACGACCUACGGGUGAAAGUAGGGGAUCUUCGGACCUUGCGCGAUUGAAUGAGCCGAUGUCGGAUUAGCUAGUUGGCGGGGUAAAGGCCCACCAAGGCGACGAUCCGUAGCUGGUCUGAGAGGAUGAUCAGCCACACUGGAACUGAGACACGGUCCAGACUCCUACGGGAGGCAGCAGUGGGGAAUAUUGGACAAUGGGCGCAAGCCUGAUCCAGCCAUACCGCGUGGGUGAAGAAGGCCUUCGGGUUGUAAAGCCCUUUUGUUGGGAAAGAAAAGCAGCAGGUUAAUACCCCGCUGUUCUGACGGUACCCAAAGAAUAAGCACCGGCUAACUUCGUG